rnacentral:rRNA from 1 species
GCGAACUCCGUGCCAGCAGCCGCGGGAAUACGGAGGGUGGAAUCUGUAUUCGGAUUUAUUGGGUUUAAAGGUUCCGUAGGCGGAGCGAUAAGGCAGUGGUGAAAUCUCACAGCUUAACUGUGAAACGGCCGUUGAUACUGUAGGUCUUGAGUAAAUUUGAAGUGGCUGGAAUAAGUAGUGUAGCGGUGAAAUGCAUAGAUAUUACUUAGAACACCAAUUGCGAAGGCAGGUCACUAAGAUUUAACUGACGCUGAGGGACGAAAGCGUGGGGAGCGAACAGGAUUAGAUACCCUAGUAGUC